rnacentral:rRNA from 1 species
GCUGGGUUUAAAACGUCGUGAGACAGUUUGGUCCCUAUCUUCCGUGGGCGCUGCAGAUUUGAGGAAGCCUGCUCCUAGUACGAGAGGACCGGAGUGGACACACCUCUGGUGUAUCGGUUGUCACGCCAGUGGCAUUGCCGAGUAGCUAAGUGUGGAAGAGAUAACCGCUGAAAGCAUCUAAGCGGGAAACUCGUUUCAAGAUGAGAUCUGCCGGGGCCUUGAGCCCCCUGAAGAGUCGUUCAAGACCAGGACGUUGAUAGGUCAGGUGUGGAAGCGCAGUAAUGCGUUAAGCUAACUGAUACUAAUUGCUCGUGCGGCUUGACCCUAUAACUUUG